UGAGGAAUAUUGGUCAAUGGACGGAAGUCUGAACCAGCCAUGCCGCGUGCAGGAAGACGGCUCUAUGAGUUGUAAACUGCUUUUGUACAAGGGUAAACCUGAAUACGUGUAUUCAGCUGAAAGUACUGUACGAAUAAGGAUCGGCUAACUCCGUGCCAGCAGCCGCGGUAAUACGGAGGAUCCAAGCGUUAUCCGGAUUUAUUGGGUUUAAAGGGUGCGUAGGCGGAUUGAUAAGUUAGAGGUGAAAUGUCCGAGCUCAACUCGGGAACUGCCUCUAAUACUGUUGAUCUAGAGAGUAGAUGCGGUAGGCGGAAUGUAUGGUGUAGCGGUGAAAUGCUUAGAGAUCAUACAGAACACCGAUUGCGAAGGCAGCUUACCAAUCUAUAUCUGACGUUGAGGC
rnacentral:rRNA from 1 species